CCCUUAGAUGUUCUGGGCCGCACGCGCGCUACACUGACGAAGUCAGCGAGCAUGUCCUACGCCGACAGGUGCGGGGAAUCUUGUCAAACUUCGUCGUGAUGGGGAUUGAUUAUUGAAAUUCUUGAUCAUCAACGAGGAAUUCCUAGUAAGCGCAAGUCAGCAGCUUGCGUUGAUUACGUCCCUGCCCUUUGUACACACCGCCCGUCGCUACUACCGAUUGAAUGGUUGAGUGAGAUCUUCGGAUUGGCGCCACUGCGGCUCAGCAAUGGGCUCGGUGGAUGCCGAAAAGUUGAUCAAACUUGAUCAUUUAGAGGAAGUAAAAGUCGUAACA
rnacentral:rRNA from 1 species